CUAAAUGUCCAAGUUUGUGCAGCAACUAUCUGAAAAAGGUUUUAGAUGGAAACCUCUACACUGACUUAUUAUUGCUGGUACCACCCAGUAAUGUCGUAUCUGAACUUCAAUAGCAGGCUAAUAUCUAGCCUUAAUGUAUUCCUUCAUCCACACAAAAAAUAGGCUACUAAAAGUGGCUCCUUGCCCUUUACACAUGGACAAGUCAGACAGAACCCGCUGGCUCACACAUGAAGCCACAUCGUGGCCAUUUCCCCAUGUGGUGUAGAGAGAACAAGUUCCCCUGCAGGUGUCCCCCCACUCACUCUGUGAUCAGAGGAGAAAACUGCUGCAAGGCUCAACAGAAGCUGAUGAAAAUGUGUGAACAGAAAAAAAAGGGGGCUGCUGGAUCUUCUUAAGUUACAUGAGACAUGUUUGAAGCAGCCUGAAUACCUUUCGUACAACCUAUGAAUCGUUACGCCCUCUAACCUUUGUGUUGCCCAACCUUAACCAUAGUUUAUUUGCUAUAACCAUUGUGUUAAUCAUACCAUAAUCAUGCUGUAGUAUGUCCAUGCAUUGUUAUCAAAGCAGUGAACGUAAUCUCCGAUUUUGCAUAAUCGUCCACUGUCAGCCUUCUUUCUGCCGAUAGGGAUGACUAUCUACCAUUUUUGCAGCAAGUCCCCCAAACUAAAGGACAAAACACUAAAUUUAUAAUUGCCUUCCAAAACGAUCCAUGCCUGAGUUUUCCGAUCAUAUGCCCAUCUGUAGUCAGUGCCCGCCAAAACUGUUACAAAUCACCUAUGUUUACCAUGGCCACUACUAUUUUAGCUUAGCAUGCUUACUUUUGCUAAUUAGCAUUAAACACAAAGCACAGAUGAGGCUCAUGAGAAUGACAUUUGUUUUGCAGGUAUUUAGUCAUGAGCAGUAUAAGUAUUGAACAAAUUAAAAAUUUGACCUGAUGAUGGCGCUAGAUGAAAAUCUAAGUUAUUACAAUUCAUCCUGAGGGGAACAUGAAUGUCUUCACCAUUUGCCUGUUUACUGGCAACCCAUCCAAUAGUUGUCAUUUGACUCCAAAUCUAAAAAUGUCAACCUGCUGCUGGCACUGGACGAAACAUCAGGGGAUCACCAAGUCAUCAGAAUUCAUCCUCCAACAGUUGCUGAGACAUAUGAGUCCGGACCACAGUGGUGGACCAACCAACUGGCAUUGCCAUCACUAGAGCCACGUGGCUGGCAUGGCUAAAAACUACUUCAUCAGAGUUAGGGAACCGUCUUCAUCAUGGCUGAAAGAAGAACUACUUGGUUAAGGUUAGGGAAGGAUUGUGGUCAUGGUUAAAACAAACCAGCGUUGACUGUUGGUAGAAAACAGGAAAUGAACAGCAGUGGUAACGGCACACACUUUGUUGGUCAAUCCAUCCCUGCUGACCCCGUCCCUAUGAAGUUCUGUGGCUGUGUGACAGUGUAACGUUACUUCUGCCUUUGCUCCUGACAGACAAGAGUCAUUUUACACUGCCACUGGAGGUUUGUGUCAGGACAGCGUAAACACAUGUCAUUUUUUAGGCAUUUGAACAAACAAAAAAAGCUGUUGUUUUCUUGGGAGGACAGUCUCCAUUUUGCAUGGUGCAUCAAAACGCACUAUGUAAAGGGCGGUGAUAGCGUUCAUGACGUUGUGUGUGGUUCACAUAUCUGUCAGCUGCUCAGCUCUCAGCCUCGGUGUCCUCCACCUCUCCAUCCAUCCCAUGCUCAUUUGCCUGUUUACUACCUCACUGACCUUAUUUACAGACAAAGAGAACAUCAAUCCAGCCCUGCACUUGAUUCGUGAGUAGAAAUAUUGUGACUCUGUGGCGACUCAGCACUAAGUUCACACACAUGAAUGAAAUGUCAGGCUGAAUUACUGCAGUGUGCCAUGAAGACUUCUAAAACAGCCCCACCGAGUAGAUACAUUCAUGACUCCAGUGUGUUUCACAUAAAUCCAGCAACAACUGGAAAUGCAGACAUUAAAGUCAUUUGUAUUCUGAACACUAAAAUAUACAAAUACCACAGUGUUCAGUUAUUGUCAGUAAGUAACAUUUGAGCAUCAGUAUAGAGCUUUAAAAUGCUGAACAAACAGACUUCCUGUCCAUCUCAUAUCUGAGAUUGGACUUUAUUUCAAUAUUUUCAGCAAAUUGUUAGUUGUUGACUCUUGUGCAUUUAAAUUUGUAAGUAAUAGUAGCAUUGACAUAGCAUAAACAUAUAUGUAAUAUCAUCCUUUCUGGUGUACCUUAAACUUGGUUUAUCUUAGAUAUCUGUAAUAUCUUCAAAGG